UUGAACGCUGGCGGCAUGCCUUACACAUGCAAGUCGAACGGCAGCACGGGGGCGACCCUGGUGGCGAGUGGCGAACGGGUGAGUAACGCAUCGGAACGUACCCGGAAGUGGGGGAUAACGUAGCGAAAGUUACGCUAAUACCGCAUAUUCUGUGAGCAGGAAAGAGGGGGAUCGCAAGACCUCUCGCUUCCGGAGCGGCCGAUGUCGGAUUAGCUAGUUGGCGGGGUAAAGGCCCACCAAGGCGACGAUCCGUAGCGGGUCUGAGAGGAUGAUCCGCCACACUGGGACUGAGACACGGCCCAGACUCCUACGGGAGGCAGCAGUGGGGAAUUUUGGACAAUGGGCGCAAGCCUGAUCCAGCCAUGCCGCGUGAGUGAAGAAGGCCUUCGGGUUGUAAAGCUCUUUCAGCUGGAACGAAACGGUAGUCUCUAACAUAGGCUGCUAAUGACGGUACCAGCAGAAGAAGCACCGGCUAACUACGU
rnacentral:rRNA from 1 species